GAUGAACGCUGGCUACAGGCUUAACACAUGCAAGUCGAGGGGAAACGACGGGGAAGCUUGCUUCCCCGGGCGUCGACCGGCGCACGGGUGAGUAACGCGUAUCCAACCUGCCUCUGACUGAGGGAUAACCCGUCGAAAGUCGGCCUAAUACCUCACGGUAUCGUCUGCGGGCAUCCAACGACGAUUAAAGAUUUCAUCGGUCAGGGAUGGGGAUGCGUCUGAUUAGCUUGUUGGCGGGGUAACGGCCCACCAAGGCUACGAUCAGUAGGGGUUCUGAGAGGAAGGUCCCCCACAUUGGAACUGAGACACGGUCCAAACUCCUACGGGAGGCAGCAGUGAGGAAUAUUGGUCAAUGGGCGAGAGCCUGAACCAGCCAAGUAGCGUGCAGGAAGACGGCCCUAUGGGUUGUAAACUGCUUUUAGGCGGGGAUAAAGUGAGGGACGUGUCCCUCAUUGCAGGUACCGCAUGAAUAAGGACCGGCUAAUUCCGUG
rnacentral:rRNA from 1 species